rnacentral:rRNA from 1 species
UACAGAGGUCUCAAGCGUUGUUCGGAUUCAUUGGGCGUAAAGGGUGUGUAGGUGGCGCGCUAAGUCGGGUGUGAAAUCUCGGAGCUUAACUCCGAAACUGCAUUCGAUACUGGCGUGCUUGAGGACUGGAGAGGAGACUGGAAUUCAUGGUGUAGCAGUGAAAUGCGUAGAGAUCAUGAGGAAGACCAGUGGCGAAGGCGGGUCUCUGGACAGUUCCUGACACUGAGACACGAAGGCCAGGGGAGCAAACGGG